AACAGCUUAUCCACGCUCUCCGAUCUCGUGUCUGUUUCUCUUUCUCUCUCCCUCUCUUGCGCUGCCCCUCAUUCAUUCACUCUUCCAUCUUUUUGCCAUUGUGCCAGCUCAAUUUAAAUGUAUCUGCUCUGUAUCUGUUCAAGUGGAGAUAAUCCAUGCAAAUCAGGAGCAGUGGUUUUCAAUGCCUGGUUCACAGAGAGGACUCAGCUUGAGGAGGUCACUCGUUCACAGCCGCUCCUCCCAUUAUAUUUUUCCCCUUAUUGCAGAACUGCUGUAUGUAUACAGUGACUGAAAGGACUCAAUUUACUGCAACUGCUGCCUGGCUUUACUUACAACUUUUUUUUAUAAAGGAACUUACCUCCAUCUGUCUUUUCAAGUUGAUUCACCUAAGGUUGGCAUUCUGGUGGAAAGUACACUGGACCAAGAUUAACUGGGCUUCCCACUGAAACAGUCUGCCAAGACGGGUACAAAAUUGAACAGAGUCCAUUUCUGUGUGGUCAGUUAAACAGGGUAAAGCCAAAAGAGAGGGAGGAAAUCAUGAAUUGGAAGAAACAGUGGUGGUCUCGACAGUAAAUCAAACUGAACCAAGAUGGCAGCUAAAGCCAGGACUGGUGACAUGGAGAGCAGAGGAGGAAAAAAGUUGUUAACAUGAAGAGGAAAAUGGAUUAAUGGAAUUUACGAAUGCUAUUUUUAUUUGCACUUCUGUUCAACUAUAGUAAAUAACUUACACUCUCCUUCAAACUGGAUAAAAUUAGUUAUAUAUGCCACUCUUCCUCUUUACAUCAUGAUUAUCUCCACCUCUAUUAUGUUUAUUUCUAAAAGAAAAUCAAAUGGUUUUUUCUUCUUUCUUGUAUCAAAGGAAGUGAAAGAAUCCAGGUUUGUGACAUAAAACACAUCCCUUCACGGCACUGAAAAAUCUUCAUUUGAUGAUCACAAUAUAUACAGCCUGGUUACAGCAUUUACAUUUUACUGCCUUGAUUCAACUUUUGCACUUAUUCAACCUUACUUGAAAUCUAUUUGAUUUCAAGCCAUAUUAUUGACUUUGGGUCAUUUAGCUUUGAAUGACAUUUCUGACUAAACUAUCUGAUUUUCAACACAUUACCUCAUUUUCCAGGCUUGGUUUCUUCAUUGGUAAACGGAGUAAACUAUCUGAAAGAAUGGAUUUAAAGGUCAAAUGUGUCUAUUAAUGUAUAUUAAAGUGACUCUCCUUAGGUUCUUGAGUCAUAGUUUCUUUCUAUUCUCUACAACUCCAGUGAAUUUCCUUCUCUUUCGAAUAAGGAUUGUAUGUUGCUUUUCAACAGAUAUUUUCACACCUUCCUUUUGAAAAUAUCUAUGGAAAUCUUUAGAGGCUGUCUCUUUUAGUCAUCAUAAACUUCCCAUGUUUCCCAAGUUUUGAAUAACAAAUGAACUUAUUACUACAGUCAUUUAAGAGUAAGUCAUUCAGCCAGAAAGAAUCUCAAACACCCUCAUCUCCUCAUAAGUUCUUUUCUAGGAAAUUCAAAAACUACUAUAAUAUUGUAAAGUAAUUAGUCUCCAACUAAAAUAAAUUUUUAAAAAUUAAAAUUAAAAAAAAGAAGAAAUUCACCUGGACAUGAUAAGUAUGGCUCCAGACAAAUAGUAAAUCUAACCUGCAAGAUCUGUUCUUUUUAAAUCACAUUUAUUCAAAGAAGCAGUUUCAGUGAACAAAUAUUUAUAGGAACAUGCCAGAAAUCCUACAAAACCAC
ensembl:lncRNA